CCUACGGGAUGCUGCAGUGGGGAAUAUUGCACAAUGGAGGAAACCCUGAUGCAGCGACGCAGCGUGAGUGAAGAAGGAUUUCGGUACGUAAAGCUCUAUCAGCAGGGAAGAAAAAAGGACGGUACCUGAGUAAGUAUCCCCGGCUAACUAAGUGCCAGCAGCCGAGGACAUACGUAGGGGGCAAGCGUUAUCCGGAAUUACUGGGUGUACAGGGAGCAUAGACGGCAAUGCAAGUCCGGAGUGGAAUGCGGCAGCUCAACUGCCGAACUGCUCUGGAAACUGGAAGGCUUGAGUGCAGGAGAGGUAAGCGGAAUUCCUGGUGUAGCGGUGAAAUGCGUAGAUAUCAGGAGGAACACCGGUGGCGAAGGCGGCUUACUGGACUGUAACUGACGUUGAGGCUCGAAAGCGUGGGGAGCAAACAGGAUUAGAUACCCGUGUAGUC
rnacentral:rRNA from 1 species